rnacentral:rRNA from 1 species
GACGAACGCUGGCGGCGUGCUUAACACAUGCAAGUCGAACGGAAAGGCCCUGCUUUUGUGGGGUGCUCGAGUGGCGAACGGGUGAGUAACACGUGAGUAACCUGCCCUUGACUUUGGGAUAACUUCAGGAAACUGGGGCUAAUACCGGAUAGGAGCUCCUGCUGCAUGUUGGGGGUUGGAAAGUUUCGGCGGUUGGGGAUGGACUCGCGGCUUAUCAGCUUGUUGGUGGGGUAGUGGCUUACCAAGGUUUUGACGGGUAGCCGGCCUGAGAGGGUGACCGGCCACAUUGGGACUGGGAUACGGCCCAGACUCCUACGGGAGGCAGCAGUGGGGAAUAUUGCACAAUGGGCGGAAGCCUGAUGCAGCAACGCCGCGUGCGGGAUGACGGCCUUCGGGUUGUAAACCGCUUUCGCCUGUGACGAAGCGUGAGUGACGGUAAUGGGUAAAGAAGCACCGGCUAACUACGUG